AACAGGAUUAGAUACCCUGGUAGUCCACGCUGUAAACGAUGUCGACUUGGAGGUUGUUCCCUUGAGGAGUGGCUUCCGGAGCUAACGCGUUAAGUCGACCGCCUGGGGAGUACGGCCGCAAGGUUAAAACUCAAAUGAAUUGACGGGGGCCCGCACAAGCGGUGGAGCAUGUGGUUUAAUUCGAUGCAACGCGAAGAACCUUACCUACUCUUGACAUCCACGGAAUUUAGCAGAGAUGCUUUAGUGCCUUCGGGAACCGUGAGACAGGUGCUGCAUGGCUGUCGUCAGCUCGUGUUGUGAAAUGUUGGGUUAAGUCCCGCAACGAGCGCAACCCUUAUCCUUUGUUGCCAGCGGUUCGGCCGGGAACUCAAAGGAGACUGCCAGUGAUAAACCGGAGGAAGGUGGGGAUGACGUCAAGUCAUCAUGGCCCUUACGAGUAGGGCUACACACGUGCUACAAUGGCAUAUACAAAGAGAAGCGAACUCGCGAGAGCAAGCGGACCUCAUAAAGUAUGUCGUAGUCCGGAUUGGAGUCUGCAACUCGACUCCAUGAAGUCGGAAUCGCUAGUAAUCGUAGAUCAGAAUGCUACGGUGAAUACGUUCCCGGGCCUUGUACACACCGCCCGUCACACCAUGAGAGUGGGUUGCAAAAGAAGUAGGUAGCUUAACCUUCGGGAGGGCGCUUACCACUUUGUGAUUCAUGACUGGGGUGAAGUCGUAACAAGGUAACC
rnacentral:rRNA from 1 species